UGGGGAAUUUUGGACAAUGGGCGAAAGCCUGAUCCAGCAAUGCCGCGUGUGUGAAGAAGGCCUUCGGGUUGUAAAGCACUUUUGUCCGGAAAGAAAUCCUUGGCUCUAAUACAGUCGGGGGAUGACGGUACCGGAAGAAUAAGCACCGGCUAACUACGUGCCAGCAGCCGCGGUAAUACGUAGGGUGCAAGCGUUAAUCGGAAUUACUGGGCGUAAAGCGUGCGCAGGCGGUUUGCUAAGACCGAUGUGAAAUCCCCGUGCACAGCAUGGAUGCUGAUGUCUGGCAGGCUAGAGUAUGGCAGAGGGGGGUAGAAUUCCACGUGUAGCAGUNAAAUGCGUAGAGAUGUGGAGGAAUACCGAUGGCGAAGGCAGCCCCCUGGGCCAAUACUGACGCUCAUGCACGAAAAGCGUGGGGAGCAAACAGGAUUAGAUACCCUGGGUAGUCCACGCCCUAAAACGAUGUCAACUAGUUGUUGGGAAUUCAUUUCCUUAGUAACGUAGCUAACGCGUGAAGUUGACCGCCUGGGGAGUACGGUCGCAAGAUUAAAACUCAAAUGAAUUGACGGGGUCAUAGCUG
rnacentral:rRNA from 1 species